CAAAUUUGGGAAAUAGAAAUAAAUAUUUUGGAAAUGAUGUUCAAAGCCGUGAUUGUUCAACUUUACUUUUAAAUUAUUUUUACUUGAAUUUUAAAAUACUGAAAUAAGAAGAAUAAAUAUAGUAUGUAGUUUAUUUACAUGGUGAAAGAAGUGAAUCAUUGGAACAAUUCUGUUUCAUAUCAUAUUCCAUAGUUUUGGGUUUUUUUGUUUUCUUUCUUUCUUCCUUUUUUUUUUUUUUUUUUUUUUUGAGUAUUAAAACGACCGAGUAUCGAAAGCAAUGGUAACGAAAUAAGUUGACACCGCGUCUCGUCAAAACAUGUUCAAUUCGAAUUUACUCGGAAUUACACGUUCAACGAGCAUUUGCUGUGAAACCUGAUUAAAGGAAAAUUACUGUAGACACCUAAUAGUGAUUUGUACAGAAGCGAGCGCCGGCAGGAAUGAUGGCCUCUUUUGAAAUGAAGAUUUCAUGCCUUACUCCUACUGGUACUACAACUAAAUUUGGACCUGGUCACUCGCAGAUACAGCAUGAAGUGUGCCCUCUUGAUGUACAUGGGGAUGGGAGUGAUACAGAAGGGGGACUAAUUGGAAGAACUGCUGCUGCUGGUGGUGGUGCUGGACUGUCUUGAAUCUGUUGCCUAACCAACUUGAUAUUCUUCUGUUUAAUAUGGGAGCAACACACACACUCUGGCAUAUAUUGCACAGAAAAUCAUGAUCAGAUGGUGCCCUCCCUAUCAGAGUGGUGAUCACUGACCUAUAUUUCUUUGAAAUCCUGGAUCUGUGUUUUGGUUUUACUCUCCAUGGACAGUUGAAACAGAGAAAGAAUUAGGGACCACUCCUUGGCAUAUCUGGAAUAUUUAUGUCAUAUACAUGUAAUUAAGAUAUACAAUUUGGGUUGGAUGAAAAUCUUAUCUUCAUGUUAAAACCCAUUAGCCUAGGUUAUUUUUCCUAAAAUCUAAUUAUAAAUCAAUUAACUUGUUAAUUAAUGCUUGGUGAAUCAAUUAAUAAAUUGUAUUCAAAAACUUGGAAUUAUUUUUUUUCCACUAAUAAACUGAAAAUGUGUAUCUUCAAA